ACCUUUUGAAGCAAGGACUAUCCUUAAUACCCCUAUUAGCUAUAAUCUUCCGGAAGAUAAAAUUAUUUGGGUCGGCAACAAUAAGGGUGUUUUCACAGUCAAAAGUGCAUACUAUAUUGCAUUUAAUUUGGUGGAAUCAUCCGAGGAGGGAGAAUGUUAUUAUAAUGACCCAAGGGAGCUGUUAUGGAGGAAGUUAUGGCAUUUACAUAUCCCUUCAAAGAUUAAAAUCUUUGCUUGGAGGGCAUGUAUAGAUGCCCUUCCAACAAUGGUGAAUUUAUACAAAAGAGGCAUUGGGACUUGUGAUUUGUGUCCUUGUUGUGGUGUUAAGUCAGAGACUCUUUUUCAUUCAAUUAUUGAUUGUGAAGUGGCUAGAAGAGUUUGGGACAAGUGGGAAGCAAGUACUAUGGAAAGUUAGCAGGGGCUUGGGGACAUCUCUGAUGUAGCUUUGGAUAUUUUGAGGAAUGACACUAAUUGUGACUUGGAGAUUUUCUUUGGGGUUGCUUGGUCUGUUUGGUAUAAUAGGAAUCAAGUAGCCUUUGAAUCAAAUUGCCAAAUGCCAGAUCAGAUUUGGAGGUUUGCUAGGAGUUUUCUACAUGAUUAUAAAGGUGCUUUGGUGUCUUUAAACAUGAAUCCAGCAGAGAAGAAGAAAGGGUGGACUCCUCCGUCGCCUGGAGUUUUGAAGAUAAAUGUUGAUGGGGCAACAUCUGAGGAUGGACGAAACUCUAGUGUUGGUGCUGUUAUUCGGGAUUCGUGUGGUGCAGUUAUUGUAGCUUGUGGUAAAUUCUUGCAAGGUCAGUUUUCAGUUUCAGAGGUGGAAGCUGACCGCUGAGGGUUCUUAAAGGAUCAAAUUUUUUUUGAUUUUGUUUAAGGUAUUGGGAACCUUAUUACUUUGUAUCAGUAGGAUUUGGGAACGGUGAAAUUGGAGGAUGAGAUGAGAUUGAAAGAGAAAUUGGAGGUGAGAGCUUGAAAAAAUACUGUGUUGAUUAUGUUCUGUACCAAAGGGAAGCUUUUUUAGUAUUUCAUUGAUUUUAGGUUUAUACUUCCAUUACAACAUUUUUUUUUGUAAUUUUAUUACUAGUAAAAAGAGCAGUGUGCAUGAAAUUGUCGGAAGCAAUUUGGCACAAGUUAA